rnacentral:rRNA from 1 species
GCUACACAUGCAGUCGAGCGGCAGCACAGAGGAACUUGUUCCUUGGGUGGCGAGCGGCGGACGGGUGAGUAAUGCCUAGGAAAUUGCCCUGAUGUGGGGGAUAACCAUUGGAAACGAUGGCUAAUACCGCAUGAUGCCUACGGGCCAAAGAGGGGGACCUUCGGGCCUCUCGCGUCAGGAUAUGCCUAGGUGGGAUUAGCUAGUUGGUGAGGUAAUGGCUCACCAAGGCGACGAUCCCUAGCUGGUCUGAGAGGAUGAUCAGCCACACUGGAACUGAGACACGGUCCAGACUCCUACGGGAGGCAGCAGUGGGGAAUAUUGCACAAUGGGCGCAAGCCUGAUGCAGCCAUGCCGCGUGUAUGAAGAAGGCCUUCGGGUUGUAAAGUACUUUCAGUCGUGAGGAAGGUGGUGUUGUUAAUAGCAGCAUCAUUUGACGUUAGCGACAGAAGAGCACCGGCUAACUCCGUGCCAGCAGCCGCGGUAAUACGGAGGGUGCGAGCGUUAAUCGGAAUUACUGGGCGUAAGCGCAUGCGGGUGGUGAUUAGUCAGAUGUGAAGCCCGGGGCUCAACCUCG